AGUGAACGCUGGCGGCGUGCCUAAUACAUGCAAGUCGAACGGAGUGGCGCACGGGUGAGUAAUAUAUAGCUAAUCUGCCCCUUGCUGGAGGACAACAGUUAGAAAUGACUGCUAAUACUCCAUAGCAAGGGAUGAGACUAUAUCGUAUCAGCUAGUCGGUGGGGUAACGGCCUACCGAGGCUAUGACGCGUAACUUGUCUGAGAGGAUGAUCAGUCGCAUUUGAACUGAGACACCGUGCGAACUCCUACGGGAUGCAGCAGAACGGAAUGUUGCGCAAUGGGGGGAACCCUGACGGAGCUCCGCCGCGUGGAGGAUGACACUUUUCGGAGAGUAAACUCCUUUUGUUAGUGAAGCGGUACCUGACUAAUAAGCACCGGCUAACUCCGUGCCAGCAGCCGCGGUAAUUC
rnacentral:rRNA from 1 species